GAUCAUGGCUCAGGAUGAACGCUGGCGGCAUGCCUAAUACAUGCAAGUCGAACGGAGUGAAGCCUUCGGGUUUCAUUCAGUGGCGAACGGGUGAGUAAUACGCAGGGAACCUGGCCAUGGCAGGGGGAUACACUCUGGAAACGGAGCAUAAGACCCCAUAGGCAGUAAGGCGGCAUCGCCUUACUGUUAAAGAAAGCUGAAAGGCUUUGGCGAUGGAUGGACCUGCGGUGCAUUAGCUUGUUGGUGAGGCAACGGCUUACCAAGGCGAUGAUGCAUAGCCGGCCUGAGAGGGCGGACGGCCACACUGGGACUGAGACACGGCCCAGACUCCUGCGGGAGGCAGCAGUAGGGAAUUUUCGUCAAUGGGCGCAAGCCUGAACGAGCAAUGCCGCGUGAGUGAGGAAGGUCUUCGGACUGUAAAGCUCUGUUGCCGGGGAAAAAGGGGAAAUGCAGGAAAUGGCAUUUCAUGGAUGGUACCCGGCCAGAAAGCCACGGCUAACUACGUGCCAGCAGCCGCGGUAAUACGUAGGUGGCGAGCGUUAUCCGGAAUGAUUGGGCGUAAAGGGUGCGCAGGCGGUCUGUUAAGUCUGAAGGCAAAGGGAUGAGCUCAACUCAUUUAUGAUUCAGAAACUGGCAGACUUGAGGACAGGAGAGGGCGGUGGAACUCCAUGUGUAGCGGUAAAAUGCGCAGAGAUAUGGAAGAACACCAGUGGCGAAGGCGGCCGCCUGGCCUGUGACUGACGCUGAGGCACGAAAGCGUGGGGAGCAAAUAGGAUUAGAUACCCUAGUAGUCCACGCCGUAAACGAUGAGGAGCAGGUGUUGGGAGUGAAAUCUCAGUGCCGAAGCCAACGCAGUGACUCCUCCGCCUGGGGAGUAUGCACGCAAGUGUGAAACUCAAAGGAAUUGACGGGGGCCCGCACAAGCGGUGGAGUAUGUGGUUUAAUUCGAAGCAACGCGAAGAACCUUACCAGGUUUUGACAUCGGAUGCGAAGGUGCAGAGAUGCGCUGGAGGCUAUCAUCCAGACAGGUGGUGCAUGGUUGUCGUCAGCUCGUGUCGUGAGAUGUUCAGUUAAGUCUGGCAACGAGCGCAACCCCCGUGGUAUGUUACUAACGCUUAGGGCGAGGACUCAUAUCAGACUGCCGGUGACAAACCGGAGGAAGGCGGGGAUGACGUCAAAUCAUCAUGCCCCUUAUGACCUGGGCUACACACGUACUACAAUGGCGUCUACAGAGGGAAGCGACCCUGAGAAGGGAAGCGAAACCGGAAAAGGGCGUCCCAGUUCGGAUUGAAGUCUGCAACCCGACUUCAUGAAGAUGGAAUCGCUAGUAAUCGCGGAUCAGCAUGCCGCGGUGAAUACGUUCCCGGGCCUUGUACACACCGCCCGUCAAACCAUGGAAGCCGGCAACGCCCGAAGCCGGUGGCAUAACCUUUUAGGAGUGAGCCGUCGAAGGCGGGGCCGAUGACUGGGGUUAAGUCGUAAAAAGGUAUCC
rnacentral:rRNA from 1 species